GAGCUAGCCUAAUAUGCAGCGUUCUCGGAAUCACUGGGCGUAAAGGACGCGUAGGCGGGUUGGAAGUCUGAUGUGAAAUCCUACAGCUUAACUGUAGAACUGCAUUGGAAACUUCCAACCUAGUAGUAUGGGAGGGGGAGAUGGAAUUAGUGGUGUAGGGGUAAAAUCCGUAGAUAUCACUAGGAAUACCUAAAGCGAAGGCGAUCUCCUGGUAACAUUACUGACGCUAAGGCGUGAAAGCGUGGGGAGCAAACGGGAUUAGAUACCCCGGUAGUCCACGCCCUAAACGAUGAACACUAGUCGUCGGGAAGCUUGUCUUCUCGGUGAUGCACUUAACAGAUUAAGUGUUCCCGCCUGGGGAGUACGGUCGCAAGAUUAAAACUCGAAGGAAUAGACGGGGACCCGCACAAGUGGUGGAGCAUGUGGUUUAAUUCGAAGAUACGCGAAGAACCUUACCUAGCCUUGACAUUGAUAGAACACACCAGAGAUGGAGUGGUGCCCUUUCGGGGAGCUUGAAAAACAGGUGCUGCACGGCUGUCGUCAGCUCGUGUCGUGAGAUGUUGGGUUAAGUCCCGCAAACGAGCGCAACCCUCGUCCUUAGUUGCCAGCAGGUUAUGCUGGGCACUCUAAAGGAGACUGCCUUCGGCAAGGAGGAGGAAGGUGAGGACGACGUCAAGUCAUCAUGGCCCUUACGGCUAGGGCUACACACGUGCUACAAUGGGGCGUACAGAGAGUUGCGAUACCCGCGAGGUGGAGCCAAUCUCAUAAAGCGUCUCUCAGUUCGGAUUGGAGUCUGCAACUCGACUCCAUGAAGCUGGAAUCACUAGUAAUCGUAGAUCAGCAAUGCUACGGUGAAUACGUUGCCCGGGUCUUGUACUCACCGCCCGUCACACCAUGGGAGUUGAUUUCACCCGAAAUUGGGAAGCUAACCUUCGGGAGGCUACCACUACGGUGAAUAGCAACGGG
rnacentral:rRNA from 1 species